GACGAACGCUGGCGGCGUGCCUAAUACAUGCAAGUAGGACGCACAGUUUAUACCGUAGCUUGCUACACCAUAGACUGUGAGUUGCGAACGGGUGAGUAACGCGUAGGUAACCUGCCUGGUAGCGGGGGAUAACUAUUGGAAACGAUAGCUAAUACCGCAUAAUAUUAAUUAUUGCAUGAUAAUUAAUUGAAAGGUGCAAUUGCACCACUACCAGAUGGACCUGCGUUGUAUUAGCUAGUAGGUGAGGUAACGGCUCACCUAGGCGACGAUACAUAGCCGACCUGAGAGGGUGAUCGGCCACACUGGGACUGAGACACGGCCCAGACUCCUACGGGAGGCAGCAGUAGGGAAUCUUCGGCAAUGGACGCAAGUCUGACCGAGCAACGCCGCGUGAGUGAAGAAGGUUUUCGGAUCGUAAAGCUCUGUUGUAAGAGAAGAACGGGUGUGAGAGUGGAAAGUUCACACUGUGACGGUAUCUUACCAGAAAGGGGCGGCUAACUACGUG
rnacentral:rRNA from 1 species